CAAGACCUUGCGCUGAAGGAGCGGCCGAUGUCUGAUUAGCUUGUUGGUGAGGUAAAGGCUUACCAAGGCAACGAUCAGUAGUUGGUCUGAGAGGACGGCCAACCACACUGGGACUGAGACACGGCCCAGACUCCUACGGGAGGCAGCAGUGGGGAAUUUUGGACAAUGGGCGAAAGCCUGAUCCAGCCAUGCCGCGUGAGUGAAGAAGGCCUUCGGGUUGUAAAGCUCUUUCAGUCGGAAAGAAAAGAUCAUGACUAAUACUCAUGAUUCAUGACGGUACCGACAGAAGAAGCACCGGCUAACUACGUGCCAGCAGCCGCGGUAAUACGUAGGGUGCGAGCGUUAAUCGGAAUUACUGGGCGUAAAGGGUGCGCAGGCGGUUUUGUAAGUCAGAUGUGAAAUCCCCGGGCUUAACCUGGGAAUU
rnacentral:rRNA from 1 species